rnacentral:lncRNA from 1 species
AAACAAAUGGUACAACUCGGAGGAUUCCAUCAUAUGUGUAGUAAAAUCCAAAUGAAGCAUGGAUUAACAACUCGGAGAUUUAAACAAAUAGAGAUUUUUUUUUUUUUUAAGUAACUAAAAAGAGAACUUAUUCAAAGAGAUAAAUGGAUUUCAAGUUAUUUAUUGGUUGUUAUUUUUUGUCUUCCAGAAAAUGCAAACUUAUUCUUUCAUUACUAUAUCUCAUCUAGUUAUCUAAAGGAAAACACAUUUAGGAUUUAGGAAAAAAUUCUUAAUUUGCUGAUUAGAUAACAUCCACAGAUAGUCCAACUGAUAUUUAACAUCAGGAUGAGAUUGCAUCUGGUAGUCUACUGCAAGCCCAAAUCCCUGCAAGAUCCUAGUUUUUGAAUAAUUAAUCUUUUGUGUGCGCGUGCGCGGCAGCGACAGACAUUAUCCACCAUCAAA